rnacentral:lncRNA from 1 species
UCAGCAGAAUAUCUGCUCAGCUUCUACAGUGAAGGAGGGGCUCAAGGUCACCAAUGCAAAACCCACCUGAGGUGGAUGCCUCCUGCAGGAGGCACUCAAGCACCAAAAGUUCUGCCAGGAAUUCAUUGAUGAAAGCAGAUGACAUCUGAGAUAAUACCUGGUCAGACUCACCUUAAGCCCAUGGAGGAUUUAUCUUUGUUUCUACCAACUGUACAAUAAGAUUUUAAAAUAGCACAUUCUUAAUUGUCUGUAUUUAUGUAUAUUCUCCUGAAAAACUGUUAUGUAAGCAGAUUUUCUUUAAACAUGCAUCCAAAGGAAAUUCCCAAGUCAAUUAGUUCAUACUAAGAGAAUACAAACUUAUUUAAUAUCAACCUAAGUAAAAUCCACUGGAGAAGAUAAGUGUGUAGCUUAGAAUUACAGAUUGUAUUCUCUAGUCAAAGAUACAUAAAUUAGGCCUUAAAAAGUUACUUUGGAUCAUGUUUACUUUUAUUACUGUCUAUCUGGAUAGAUAAUUGGAUGUUAUUGCUCAUCCCUCAUUUUCUAGAAUGAGGGUUC